rnacentral:rRNA from 1 species
GAUGAACGCUAGCGGCAGGCUUAACACAUGCAAGUCGAGGGGUAUAGGCUUUCGGGCCUAGAGACCGGCGCACGGGUGCGUAACGCGUAUGCAAUCUGCUUUACACUAAGGGAUAGCCCAGAGCAAUUUGGAUUAAUACCUUAUAGUAUAUUGAUGUGGCAUCACAAUGAUAUUAAAGAUUUAUCGGUGUAAGAUGAGCAUGCGUCCCAUUCGCUAGUUGGUGUGGUAACGGCAUACCAAGGCAAUGAUGGGUAGGGGUCCUGAGAGGGAGAUCCCCCAGACUGGUACUGAGACACGGACCAAACGCCUACGGGAGGCAGCAGUGAGGAAUAUUGGACAAUGGGCGCAAGCCUGAUCCAGCCAUGCCGCGUGCAGGAUGACGGUCCUAUGGAUUGUAAACUGCUUUUGUACGGGAAGAAACACUCCUACGUGUAGGAGCUUGACGGUACCGUAAGAAUAAGGAUCGGCUAACUCCGUGCCAGCCGCCGCAGUAA